rnacentral:lncRNA from 1 species
AGUGGCCAGCAGCUCUUCUGAGCUACCAGAGCCCAGGUCCACAGAGACGGCCAGAGGGUCUUUCUCCUUCACCCACAUCACUGAAUGCACGCGCCUGAGUGAGAAAUUCGCAGAAAAAUGAAACUCUGGAUCACGGGACUUGUCUGAGUGGGGCCAAACAGCCCAGGCAUCUUCUGCCGUAACAGGAUGCUAUCCUUAAACUCCUUCCCUCGGAGUUCAGUUUUUAUGUGUUACAAUGUCUCAAUCCUCAGAUCCUGCACAAGUGCUGUCUUGUCUCUAAACAGUGGAGGCCGGGCAGACUGCAUGUAGACAUUUUCGUGGAAGGGGAUUUCAUUCAGGACGUUUUGUCCUGGAAGAGGUUUAUCUGAGGGCUAUUCUGAGAAUGAAGUAGCUGGAGGAUGCAAAGCCUUGGAAAUCUUAUCAUUAACUGGACACAGAGGUGGACUUCUCCGGCACAUGGUCACGUGACCUGUCUGCCACGCCCUGAGGUGGAAGCACAGUUAACUUAAUUACGGCAUCCAGAGCCACAGUUGGGUAGCCGUGAAAUCUGAUGGGCAGAAGCUUCCGUUAGGCAGCCGUGGAGAACACUGGCCUGCUGAGAUGGAAUUCUGGGAAGGACCCAGCGCUUCAAGGGACACAUUAGGGUGGAUGGGAGGCAAUGUUUAACAUGGACUGCAAUGACGAACUGCCUCUCUAGAGCAUCUAUAUCUCCUGGAGUGUGGAAAAGAUGAUUAAAAUUUGUCUAGUUGAGAAAGAAAUCAAUGACCAAUGCUGAAAAACUUUGCCUCUGAGGACAGAAGUAUCUGCCUGCAGCCAAGAUUUCCUUCCCACACCAAACUCGCUGUCUGUAGUUCAGUAGUCUGUCACUACCAGUGGAGCAUUGGUUGUUACAUCCUCAGGGUAACCAAGACAUUUGACGUAGCAAACUGGCCUUGCUCGCCUUUGAAGGUGUCUCUGCCCUGCUGUUUGACAACUGUUAGCGAUAAACCCAGUUAUAGCCAGCCUCUGCCAGAGGGUGUGACAUCAAGGAGAGUACAGCUUUUUGUGGGAAGCCACAUGUGCCGUUGCAGAGUGGCACUGACUACUGCUGGCCACCACGCAUAAGUUUGGACAAACAACCAAUGUGUACAUAUGCAGUAAAGUUUUUUGCAAAGACACUGCCUGGCCCGGGCAUGAUAAUGAGGCUUUGAGAGUAUAACCAAUCAGAUGUGAGACAUGCAAAUGAGGUAUGAUAAUGAGGCUCUGUGAGGUACAGAGAGAGAGAGUAGCUAAUCAGAUGAGGAACAUGCAAAUGAGGCAUAGUGCAUAACCAAUCCGGGUGUGAGACAAGCCUCUCCUAGGCCUAUAUAAACAGCAUCAGUUCUGGGCUCGGGGUCUUUUCGCCUCUGCAAUCAAGCUCUCCCAAUAAACGUGUGCAGAAGGA